ACUACGCAACGGAUUUUUAUGCGGUUUUUUUUAAUAGAUAGAGUGAUUAAAUAGGAAGGUUUAUAAAUAUAAUAAUAUUAAAUAGUGGAGAAGUACUGUUAUUUUUGAGGUUUCUAAUGUGAUGUAAAUAAUUCCAUUUUUUCCGCUUACAUUGCAAACGCAGGCUGAACCCUACGAGUUUUAUCAAAAUAAUGUACUAAGUAUUGUACACAUUGAAAAGGUCUACAGAAAAGUCCGUGAUGGUAUAUGUCUAUCUCUUAUGGAGUUAUGGAUAACGCACAAUUACUUUUUUUUGUCAUUUACUUUUUACGACAAAUAAUGGCUAAUUUUCGAAGCGAUUUUAAUCAAUACAGCAUUAAUCCUUAACCAAUUAAAUACCUUGAAUACAUUGUUCAUUUAAUAUAGAUCUAUAUGGCCAUUUACACCGUAUGAUUUAAUUGAAUAUUUUCGAAGAUAUUACAGAUUUAAAAAUUGCGGGACGUAGCGUUUGCGGCGGUACCCGCGGCCGGCCGCCAUUGCACCCGUGCGAAGCCGGGGCGGGUCGCUAGUAUUAUAAAAAAAAUGAAACCCGUUUUGCGUUGUCACGGCAAUUCUUUUGUUAUUAUAUUCCUUGAAGAACGAUGAUGGUUCUUAUAUGGAUAAAACGUAAAUAUGUACCACGGGCGAAGCCAGGACAGACUGCUUGUAUAAUAUAUACGUACCUAUAUAGACUUGUAUUAUGAAAAACGAGACAUCGUUUUGAAAAAUGGAUAACACUCAGCCAAAUUACCGAAAAAGUAAUAAAAAAGCGUUUACGUCUCUCGGCUCGAAGGAAAAAAUGUGGACCCACAAAACAAAAGAAUAAACAAGCGUUUUUAAAUGAAAACAAAGAAAACAUUGACAGUAAUGAUGUAUCACGGCUUAGUCUGGUGUUUGAAGGAAAUCGGAAUCAUCUUGACAACUAGUACAAAGGGUUUUAUUUAUAGUCCUAGAAUAAUAAAUAUCUUACACAAUUGUA